rnacentral:rRNA from 1 species
UACGGAGGGUGCGAGCGUUGUCCGGAAUCAUUGGGCGUAAAGGGCGCGUAGGUGGCCCGGUCAGUUCGUGGUGAAAGCGCGGGGCUCAACCCUGCGUCGGCCAUGAAUACUGCCGCGGCUGGAGCACUGUAGAGGCAGGCGGAAUUCCGGGUGUAGCGGUGGAAUGCGUAGAGAUCCGGAAGAACACCGGUGGCGAAGGCGGCCUGCUGGGCAGUUGCUGACACUGAGGCGCGACAGCGUGGGGAGCAAACAAG